AGCGAACGCUGGCGGCGUGCCUAACACAUGCAAGUCGAACGUGAAAGGGAGCAAUCCCAAGUAAAGUGGCGUACGGGUGAGUAACACGUAGGUAAUCUACCCCAGAAUCUGGAAUAACCGGCCGAAAGGCUGGCUAAUACUGGAUAGAGCGACGGAAUCCGUAAUUGGGUUUUUCGGGAAAGGGAGCCUGUAAAAAGGCCUUCGUUCUGGGAUGAGCCUGCGUCCCAUCAGCUAGUUGGUGAGGUAAAAGCUUACCAAGGCAAUGACGGGUAGCUGGUCUGAGAGGACGAUCAGCCACACUGGAACUGAAACACGGUCCAGACUCCUACGGGAGGCAGCAGUGGGGAAUCUUGCGCAAUGGACGAAAGUCUGACGCAGCAACGCCGCGUGAGUGAAGAGGGCCUUCGGGUUGUAAAGCUCUGUCGAGUGGGACGAAAAUGCUUGGAGUUCACAGCUCCAGGAACUGACGGUACCACUAAAGGAAGCACCGGCUAACUCCGUG
rnacentral:rRNA from 1 species